rnacentral:rRNA from 1 species
ACACGCAUGACACACUGCAUAUCAAUAAGCGGAGGAAAAGAAACUAACUAGGAUUCCCCUAGUAACGGCGAGUGAAGCGGGAAGAGCUCAAAUUUGAAAUCUUAAAGGGUUCUACCUCUGACGAAUUGUAGUUUAAAGAAGUGUUUUCUGUUGGAGUUUUCGGUAAAAGUUCUUUGGAACUAGGACAUCAUAGAGGGUGAGAAUCCCGUAUUUGACCAUUUACUUCCAGCUGUGUGAUACACUUUCAAAGAGUCGGAUUGUUUGGGAAUGCAGUCCAAAAUGGGUGGUAAAUUUCAUCUAAAGCUAAAUAUUGGCGAGAGACCGAUAGCGAACAAGUACCGUGAGGGAAAGAUGAAAAGAACUUUGAAAAGAGAGUUAAACAGUACGUGAAAUUGUCAAAAGGGAAGCGUUUGACACCAGUGUUGUUUAGUUGAAAAUCAAUUCAAUAAUUUUUGAUUUUAAGUAGUAUUGACUUCAUCAGCUUGCUGCUUUCUUUUCCGGAAAUUAUUGAAUGCACUUUUCAGUUAACAAGUCAACAUCAAUUUCUUUUGUUGUAAAAGGGUAAGAGGAAGGUGGCUUACUCUUCGGCGUAAAGUGUUUAUAGCCUUUUACCUCUGCAAUCGGAGAGAUUGAGGACAGCAGCGUAGACUCUUCGGGGUUAGAUACACUUGCGCUAAGCUAUAGCCUUGUAUAGACAACUUGUUGACUAUGCUCAGUCAUGUAGCUUACUCGCAUGUGCUAUUUUACCUACGCUUAGGAUGUUGAUCUACAGAGCGAGAGU